rnacentral:rRNA from 1 species
UACGAGGGGAGCUAGCGUUGUUCGGAAUUACUGGGCGUAAAGGGCGUGUAGGCGGUAUCAUAAGUCAGAUGUGAAAGCCCUAGGCUUAACCUAGGAGGUGCAUUUGAUACUGUGAAACUAGAGAUCGAGAGAGGAAAGUGGAAUUACGAGUGUAGAGGUGAAAUUCGUAGAUAUUCGUAAGAACACCGAUGGCGAAGGCAGCUUUCUGGCUCGCUACUGACGAUAAGGCGCGAAAGCGUGGGGAGCAAACAGG